UAAGGGGGAUGAUGACCAAAAAGGCCGAAUUGCAGUGUCCUCCUGAGCAGUUUACUCUGUAGGAGACACCAUGACAAAUCCUCCUGAAGCGAAUUUUGGCUAACCCCGGC